rnacentral:rRNA from 1 species
CAGCGUAUUAGUUGUUGCAGUUAAAGCUCGUAGUUGAUUUUAGGCCCGGUUGGACGGUCUGCCUUUGGGUUUGUACUGUCCUGACUGGGCCUUACCUUCUGGUGAGCUGUCGUGUUGUUUACUCAGCGCGGCAGGGAACCAGGACUUUUACUUUGAAAAAAUUAGAGUGUUUAAAGCAGGCAUUCGCUUGAAUACAUUAGCAUGGAAUAAUAGAAUAGGACUUUGGUUCUAUUUUGUUGGUUUCUAGGACCGAAGUAAUGAUUAAUAGGGAUAGUUGGGGGCAUUAGUAUUUAAUUGUCAGAGGUGAAAUUCUUGGUUUAUGAAAGACUAACUUCUGCCAAAGCAUUUGCCAAGGG